rnacentral:rRNA from 1 species
UAGGGAAUCUUCCACAAUGGACGCAAGUCUGAUGGAGCAACGCCGCGUGAGUGAAGAAGGUUUUCGGAUCGUAAAGCUCUGUUGUUGGUGAAGAAGGAUAGAGGCAGUAACUGGUCUUUAUUUGACGGUAAUCAACCAGAAAGUCACGGCUAACUACGUGCCAGCAGCCGCGGUAAUACGUAGGUGGCAAGCGUUGUCCGGAUUUAUUGGGCGUAAAGCGAGCGCAGGCGGAAUGAUAAGUCUGAUGUGAAAGCCCACGGCUCAACCGUGGAACUGCAGCGGAAACUGUCAUUCUUGAGUGCAGAAGAGGAGAGUGGAAUUCCAUGUGUAGCGGUGUAAUGCGUAGAUAUAUGGAAGAACACCAGUGGCGAAGGCGGCUCUCUGGUCUGCAACUGACGCUGAGGCUCGAAAGCAUGGGUAGCGAACAGG